GCCAUCCGCCUGCUCCUGGAAUACACAGACUCAAGCUACGAGGAAAAGAAGUACACGAUGGGGGAUGCUCCUGACUAUGACAGAAGCCAGUGGCUGAAUGAAAAAUUCAAGCUGGGCCUGGACUUUCCCAAUGUGGGGAGACAGAAGAGGAGAAGAUUCGUGUGGACAUUUUGGAGAACCAGGCUAUGGACGUCUCCAAUCAGCUGGCCAGAGUCUGCUACAGCCCUGACUUUGAGAAACUGAAGCCAGAAUACUUGGAGGGACUUCCUACAAUGAUGCAGCACUUCUCACAGUUCCUGGGGAAGAGGCCAUGGUUCGUUGGAGACAAGAUCACCUUUGUAGAUUUCCUCGCCUAUGAUGUCCUUGACCUCCACCGUAUAUUUGAGCCCAAGUGCUUGGAUGCCUUCCCAAAUCUGAAGGACUUCAUCUCCCACUUUGAGGUGAUGCCCCCAUCCUCCUUUCUCUUUGAUGCCCCUUGUUCCGUUACCUCCUUUCAGAUGCUUUCCCAGUCCUGGGUCUGCAUAAAGAAUAACUUGCAUUUAUUGAGUGCUGGCUUCAUGCCAGGAACCUUGCCCAGCACAUUAUACCUAUCGUGUGGAAUUUGAACUUUACAACGUUCCUACAGGGUGACAGAAUUAUCUUGCCCAUUUAGAG
rnacentral:sRNA from 1 species